rnacentral:rRNA from 1 species
CGUGCUAAUACAUGCAAGUAGAACGCUGAAGGAGGAGCUUGCUCUUCUGGAAGAGUUGCGAACGGGUGAGUAACGCGUAGGUAACCUGCCUGGUAGCGGGGGAUAACUAUUGGAAACGAUAGCUAAUACCGCAUAAGAUUGAAUAUCGCAUGAUAAUUGAUUAAAAGAUGCAAAUGCAUCACUACCAGAUGGACCUGCGUUGUAUUAGCUAGUAGGUGAGGUAACGGCUCACCUAGGCGACGAUACAUAGCCGACCUGAGAGGGUGAUCGGCCACACUGGGACUGAAACACGGCCCAGACUCCUACGGGAGGCAGCAGUAGGGAAUCUUCGGCAAUGGGGGCAACCCUGACCGAGCAACGCCGCGUGAGUGAAGAAGGUUUUCGGAUCGUAAAGCUCUGUUGUAAGAGAAGAACGAGUGUGAGAGUGGAAAGUUCACACUGUGACGGUAUCUUACCAGAAAGGGACGGCUAACUACGUGCCAGCAGCCGCGGUAAUACGUAGGUCCCGAGCGUUGUCCGGAUUUAUUGGGCGUAAAGCGAGCGCAGGCGGUUAGAUAAGUCUGAAGUUAAAGGCUGUGGCUUAACCAUAGUACGCUUUGGAAACUGUUUAACUUGAGUGCAGAAGGGGAGAGUGGAAUUCCAUGUGUAGCGGUGAAAUGCGUAGAUAUAUGGAGGAACACCGGUGGCGAAAGCGGCUCUCUGGUCAGUAACUGACGCUGAGGCUCGAAAGCGUGGGGAGCGAACAGGAUUAGAUACCCUGGUAGUCCACGCCGUAAACGAUGAGUGCUAGGUGUUAGGCCCUUUCCGGGGCUUAGUGCCGUAGCUAACGCAUUAAGCACUCCGCCUGGGGA